GACGAACGCUGGCGGCGUGCUUAACACAUGCAAGUCGAGCGGUAAGGCCCCUUCGGGGGUACACGAGCGGCGAACGGGUGAGUAACACGUGGGCGACCUGCCCUCAGCUCUGGGAUAAGCCUGGGAAACUGGGUCUAAUACUGGAUAUGACUCCACGGUGCAUGUCGUGGGGUGGAAAGCCUUGUGCGGCUGAGGAUGGGCCCGCGGCCUAUCAGCUUGUUGGUGGGGGAUGGCCUACCAAGGCGACGACGGGUAGCCGGCCUGAGAGGGCGACCGGCCACACUGGGACUGAGACACGGCCCAGACUCCUACGGGAGGCAGCAGUGGGGAAUCUUGCGCAAUGGGCGAAAGCCUGACGCAGCGACGCCGCGUGAGGGAUGACGGCCUGGUU
rnacentral:rRNA from 1 species